rnacentral:rRNA from 1 species
AACGAACGCUGGCGGCAUGCCUAACACAUGCAAGUCGAACGAGACCUUCGGGUCUAGUGGCGCACGGGUGCGUAACGCGUGGGAACCUGCCCUUAGGUUCGGAAUAACUCCCCGAAAGGGGUGCUAAUACCGGAUAAUGUCUUCGGACCAAAGAUUUAUCGCCUUUGGAUGAGCCCGCGUUGGAUUAGCUAGUUGGUAGGGUAAAAGCCUACCAAGGCGACGAUCCAUAGCUGGUCUGAGAGGAUGAUCAGCCACACUGGGACUGAGACACGGCCCAGACUCCUACGGGAGGCAGCAGUGGGGAAUAUUGGAAAAUGGGCGAAAGACUGAUCCAGCAAUGCCGCGUGAGUGAUGAAGGCCUUAGGGUUGUAAAGCUCUUUUACCCGGGAUGAUAAUGACAGUACCGGGAGAAUAAGCACCGGCUAACUCCGUG